GGAGAGUUUGAAGGCUUCACUGCUCUCAGAAAGACAGGCAGCAAAAGAGGCAAGGGAAGCUUGUAAAGAUGCUGAGGCCAGCAACUCCGAACUGAGCAAGAAACUUGAAGAUGCAGAGCAAAAGUUGGGUCAAAUUCAGGAAUCAGUGCAGAGGCUGGAGGAGAAACUUUCCAACUCGGAGUCAGAGAAUCAAGUUCUUCGU
rnacentral:misc_RNA from 1 species